UACGGAGGGUGCAAGCGUUAUCCGGAUUCACUGGGUUUAAAGGGUGCGUAGGUGGGCUAGUAAGUCCGUGGUGAAAUCUCUGAGCUUAACUCGGAAACUGCCGUGGAUACUAUUAGUCUUGAAUCUCGUGGAGGUAAGCGGAAUAUGUCAUGUAGCGGUGAAAUGCUUAGAUAUGACAUAGAACACCAAUUGCGAAGGCAGCUCGCUGCACGAAUAUUGACUCUGAGGCACGAAAGCGUGGGGAGCAAACAGG
rnacentral:rRNA from 1 species